CUACGGGAGGCAGCAGUGAGGAAUUUUGCACAAUGGGCGAAAGCCUGAUGCAGCGACGCCGCGUGUAGGGAUGAAGGAGUUUUGCUCUGUAAACCUCUGUCGGGAGAGACUAAAAGCCUGUUUUACGGGCUGGGACGGUAUCUCCAAAGGAAGCACCGGCUAACUACGUGCCAGCAGCCGCGGUAAUACGUAGGGUGCAAGCGUUGUCCGGAUUUACUGGGUGUAAAGGGUGCGUAGGCGGGUUUGCGCGUCAGAGGUUAAAUCCCACAGCUUAACUGUGGACAUGCCUUUGAUACGGCAAGCCUUGAGUAUAGGUGGGGAUGAUGGAAUUCCUGGUGUAGCGGUGAAAUGCGUAGAUAUCAGGAGGAACACCGGAAGCGAAGGCGGUCAUAUAACCUAUCACUGACGCUGAGGCACGAAAGCGUGGGGAGCAAACAGGAUCAGAUACCCUGGUAGUCCACGCCCUAAACGAUGUAUGCUUGGUGUUAGACACCCGUUGUAUAGUGCCGUAGGUAACCCGUUAAGCAUACCACCUGGGGAGUACGAUCGCAAGGUUGAAACUCGAAGGAAUUGACGGGG
rnacentral:rRNA from 1 species